GGAUGUCAAAUAGAAGCGUGAGUGUUGGAGCAGCUUUGAGGUGGAAUAUGGAAUCGUGAGUGGAGUGAAAUCUGUAGCUGCUGUGAGUGGGAAGAUGGGAUGGGAGAGAGCAGUGAAUGGUGGAGAUGCUGUGCGGGGGAAGGUGGGAAAGAAGAAAGGGGUGAAUUGUGGAGCAGCUAUGAAAGGGGAAGAUGGGACGGAGAAGAAAAUUUAAUGGUGGAGCAUCUGUGAAGGGGAAGAUGGGAUGGUGAGUAGAGUGAAAUUUGCGGCACCUGUGAAGGGGAAGAAGGGAUGGAGAGAGGAGAGAAUCGUGUAGCAGCUGAGAGGGGUAAGGUGGGAUAGAGGAUAGGAGGUAAUGGUGGAGAAGCUGUGUGGGAAGAGGUAGGAAGUGAGCGAGAGGCGUGAAUGGUGGAGCAGUUGUGAGUGGGAAGAUGGGAGGGGAAGAGGAGUGAGUUGUUGAGCAGCUGUGUGGGGGAAUAUCGGAAGGGCAGAGGAGUGAAUGGUGAGUCAACUGUGAGCGGGAUGGUGGCAUGGGGGAGAGGACGGCAUGGGGGAGCAGCUGUGAGGGGGAAGGUGGAAUGGAAGAGAGGAAGGUCCUCAAGGAAUCAAUUCUGAAGCACUUGGAGAGGAAAGUGAUCAGGAACAGUCAGCAUGGAUUCACCAAGGGGUAAUCCAAGAUUGUGGAAAAAGGUGAUGGCAGUUACACCAAAGAUGAUCUCUUUUCCAUUUCUGGAGCCGACAACCUAUAGGUACAUCACAUUUGGAAGAGUCCGCCGUCUUUACCUGGAGGUUGUCAUUAGUGUCCCCGGUGACACUGUCAUAGGAUGGAGGGAAAGAUGUUGAAGACACAGUCUCGGACUUGUCUAGAUUCUUACCAUAAUUUUC